GACAGAGGGUGCAAACGUUGUUCGGAAUUACUGGGCGUAAAGCGCAUGUAGGCGGCCCGGCAGGUCGGAUGUGAAAUCCCUCGGCUCAACCAAGGAAGUGCAUUCGAAACCGCCAGGCUCGAGUCCCGGAGAGGAUGGUGGAAUUCUCGGUGUAGAGGUGAAAUUCGUAGAUAUCGAGAGGAACACCGGCGGCGAAGGCGGCGUUCUGGACUGCAACUGACACUGAGGAACGAAAGCCAGGGGAGCAAACGGGAUUAGAAAACC
rnacentral:rRNA from 1 species